rnacentral:tRNA from 2 species
GGACCCAUAGCUCAGUUGGUUAGAGCAGCGGACUCAUAAUCCGAAGGUCGGGGGUUCAAGCCCCUCUGGGUCCA